rnacentral:rRNA from 1 species
CCUACGGGUGGCAGCAGUGAGGAAUAUUGGUCAAUGGCCGUAAGGCUGAACCAGCCAAGUCGCGUGAAGGAAGAAGGAUCUAUGGUUUGUAAACUUCUUUUAUAGGGGAAUAAAGGUAUCCACGUGUGGAUAUUUGCAUGUACACUAUGAAUAAGCAUCGGCUAACUCCGUGCCAGCCGCCGCGGUAAUACGGAGGAUGGGAGCGUUAUCCGGAUUUAGUGGGUUUAGAGGGUGCGUAGGUUGUUUUUUAAGUCAGCGGUGAAAGUUUGUGGCUCAACCAUAAAAUUGCCGUUGAAACUGGAAGUCUGGAGUGUGUGUGAGGUAGGCGGAAUGCGUGGUGUAGCGGUGAAAUGCAUAGAUAUCACGCAGAACUCCGAUUGCGAAGGCAGCUUACUAAGCCAUAACUGACACUGAAGCACGAAAGCGUGGGGAUCAAACAGGAUUAGAUACCCCUGUAGUC